CUGCACGGCCUCCUCCCCUCAACCCUAAUCCCUUCACUCCCACGUGCGCCCUCCUCCUCUGCUGGCCGCCGCCGCCUGCUCGACGUUGCCGGCCCGCCGCCCUCCUCUCCCUCAUCCUGUCCUCCCUCACCGGAUCCAUGCCCAGACGCCCACAGAUCCGCGCCGAGCCGCCCAAGCUGUGGUCGCGCACGUCAGCUAGCUAACCCUAGCGCCGCCGCAUCUCCACACCGGUGAGAGAGGCAUGGAAGGGAGCGCCGCUGCUACCUAACUUCGGCUGCGGCACCCGCUGAGGUAGGCGUGGCGGAGGCGGAGGCGGAGGGAGAGAGGACAGGGGCGCGGCGGGCGGAGGAUGCGGCACCCGUCACCUCCCCCUCGGCCGCCCUCAUCUCCUCCGUCAGGUGGCUGCCGUCUCGCCCUCGCCACCUCCCUUGACUCCUCCGAGCUGGAUGGAUCAAGGAGGACGGAUCCAUCGAGGCGCAAGUGAACUCAUCCCCACCUCUACUCUACUGCCCGCUCACCAGGUGCUAUGUCAGGUCCGUUCCCUCACUUGUGGGGAGGGGGACGAGAGGUGUGGCAUAGGUGAGACUGAGAUCCACAAUGCAUUCGUAUGGAUUUAGUGGCUUUGAAUCAUCCAAGGUAUAAUUCGACCCUAUCCCAUCCUUUCCUGGUGGUACUACAAGCGUUUUGUGUUUUUUAUUUCUUCAAUUUUUGUUCAUAUUGCUGAGUUGCUUAGACUUCACCAUAAAUCUGUAGUGGCAUAUAAUUUGUAUUGGUGCACUGCUAACUUGUAACUUGUUGAUGUGAUUAGUCAAUUUUCUACUUUAUAACACUGCUUCUGUUAGUACCAAUAAUUUGUGUUGCCAUUUAUACCAUGCUGAUACAAUGCUCCUAGAUUUUUUUUUCUGAACCACAUGACUACUAGAUUACUCUGCACUUAUAAAUUUCCUUGAACUUAAUUGAUAAUUUCCCUGAAAUGAUAAUUUCUUUCAUUUGUUUGCAUGCACAAGAAUUGUGUCACCUAGCCACCUCACUAUAUGUAAGGGCAGGCAAGGCAAGAAGAGAUUACCAGCUAGCAGCUAUAUGCUUCUUCAAGGUUCCUUCAAGCAAUUAACAGGGAUGCAGUGGGAAGGACGAGGUCACGAACAAACUGCAAGAACGAAUACACAAGUGUGGAUUGUGGCAGCAGCACGCUUCCUGCCAGUGGAAAUGGAGUAGAAUCUUUAGAAAAUGUCUGAAUGUGAGGAUAUCCACCAUCUUGUACGUGAGAAUUGAACUGCAAUGAUCAAGGAAAGGUGGUUGGAGCCGGCGGGGGUGGAGGCGGCAGCCGCCGGGGUGCUGCGCCGGCUCCUCACCUCCCACAAUCACAGCUUCAGCCUCCAGAUCGACUCCACAAGUGCGUGAACAAAAGCAUUAUGGCUCAGCAGCUAUUCUGAAUAAGCAGAUCUACAGAAAUCGAUCUGGGUUCCUCAGUGAAGUUUCACUGUUGUUUUGAAGUAUUUUGCUGCAGUUUGUGAGUGAAAGAACCUUGUAUUAUGCACUACAGCAAUCUAAAAGCCCAUCAAUCUGUGCCAAGAAUCUGAAGAAGUCGGAAAAGGCACAACUACUAAAGAUUUAGAAGUGAAGAUGCAAGAGUCAAAAAUUAGUGAAAUGAUUGCAAUCAGAACAAGCAAGCUGAAGUAGGUUUCAGAUUCAGAUAUUGGUGGUCUUAGCUGUUAUGUGGUGUUGUACAAGGUUUAUAUGGAUAUAAGUGUUGUGUACAGUUUUGUUUCAGUUGAGAUUAAUAGGAAAAUGGAAAUGCAUGUUAAUUUUGAAUUUUAGAAGGCAAGCAAUGUGAACUAUAGGCGUCUCCUGCCCCCUA